GACGAGCUGUUUGCGGCCAUGCGUCGGGCUCACCGAGCUCUUCAAUUCUAUCUAAACAAAACAGGGUCCACUAGACUUGAUUUCUUGUGGGUAUUGCUCAAGGAUCAGUGGGUAAAGGUAGUGUGUAUGUAAAUGUUGAUGCUUGUUGAAGCUUGUUGGUGAUUUUGGAAGCUUGGAAGUGGAGUUGUGAGGCUGAAAAUCGGAGCUUGGUAGUGUUGGAACCCCAAGGGCUUGAAGAAAAGUGAAAUUAAAAGUGUUCCGGGUUGAGUGGGGAAUCGGCCAAGGUAUGGUUUAGAUUUCGUGCAUUUAAUAUUUAAGGUGUUGUGAAAACUUAGGCUAGAGAACAAU